rnacentral:rRNA from 1 species
AAUUUCAACAACAACCUUAAUCCCUUUAUUACAAUCGAGUAAUUCUAUAAAACUAUAGAAUAUAUAAUGUUAAAACUAGUAACAAGAAGACAACCCUUCUCUAUAAUGCAAGUGUAAGCCAGAAAGGAUAAACCACUGUCAAUUAACACAAAUGAUAUUCAAUUAGCAACACGCCAAGAAAACCCUACUUCACUUAGUGUUAACCUAACACAAGAGCAUUUCAAGAAAGAUUAAAAGAAAAAGAAGGAAUUCGGCAAAUAAUAACCCCGCCUGUUUACCAAAAACAUCGCCUCUUGAUAAAAUAUAAGAGGUCCAGCCUGCCCAGUGACCUAGUUCAACGGCCGCGGUAUCCUAACCGUGCGAAGGUAGCGUAAUCACUUGUUCUUUAAAUGGGGACUAGUAUGAAUGGCAUCACGAGGGUUAAACUGUCUCCUUUCUCUAAUCAGUGAAACUAAUCUCCCCGUGAAGAAGCGGGGAUUAUAAUAUAAGACGAGAAGACCCUAUGGAGCUUAAAACAAACUAACAUUUGCUUACACCUACUUUAAUUCCCGAAUAAACACACAAAAUAUAGCAUUAUUGAUUAGUAGUUUUAGAUUGGGGUGAUCAUGGAGCAAAAAACAACCUCCACGACGAAAAGGAAUAUCCCCUGAGCCAAAAGCCACAACUUUAAGCACUAAAAAAUUAACGCAUCUUGACCCAAUUUUUUGAGCAACGAACCAAGUUACCCUAGGGAUAACAGCGCAAUCCACUUCAAGAGCCCCUAUCGACAAGUGGGCUUACGACCUCGAUGUUGGAUCAGGGUAUCCCAGUGGUGCAGCCGCUACUAAA